GAUGAACGCUAGCUACAGGCUUAACACAUGCAAGUCGCGGGACCGGCGCACGGGUGAGUAACACGUAUCCAACCUGCCCUUUACUCGGGGAUAGCCUUUCGAAAGAAAGAUUAAUAACCGAUAUAAAGUAGGGGGAGGCGUGCCAGUAGGUUGUUGGUGAGGUAAAGGCCCACCAAGCCUUCGAUGGAUAGGGGUUCUGAGAGGAAGGUCCCCCACAUUGGAACUGAGACACGGUCCAAACUCCGACGGGAGGCAGCAGUGAGGAAUAUUGGUCAAUGGGCGUGAGCCUGAACCAGCCAAGUAGCGUGAAGGAUGAAGGCUUAUGGGUCGUAAACUUCUUUUAUAUAAGAAUAUGUAUUAUAUGAAUAAGGAUCGGCUAACUCCGUGCCAGCAGCCGCGGUAAUAC
rnacentral:rRNA from 1 species